CCUCCCCAGCCUGGCAUAAGAAAGGCUCUCCACUGGCCACGCCAACAACAAUGUGGAAGUGUCAUUCCCCUUCCUGAGUCCCCACCAUGUCCUGAAUGAGGGAGGAUGAGCAAUAAGCCUCUACACUUCAUUUCGGCAGUAAUCCACGGUGUAGCUCUCCCAGUGCAGCUCUCCCGCCUCCCUCCCUUUCCCUCUGAGCCAAGCUGGAGUGACAAGCCUGGGUGGGGAGAGCCUGAACAAUGAACAUGGCCAAAAUGUGGAAACUUCCCUAGGCGCUCAGCAGGGGGGGAAAAAAAAAACAACAAAACAGAAGGAAGAAAAAGGCAAAAAAAGAGAAAAGCUCUGAUCAGACUAUGCAAGCAGUAAAGCAGCAUCAUCCCACUAUGAAACAGAAGUUUUCCACUCCCUGACAGAGAGAGGUUUUAAUUAGGGUCUCCCAAUGCUAAUUGCUCUUGAUUUCUCCAAUGGUUUUAUUUAAGGCACCCAAUUUAAACAACCACGCAAGCAAACCUGUAGCUGGCUCCACAGCAUAUUAUUUUAGCUCUCAGCAAGCACCCCAAGAAGGAUUAGGAUUGGUAAUAAAACCCAAUCGAUACUUUGCCCCUUCUCUUCCUUCAGAUCAAAGGCACAGAGCAGGAGGAAGCGCCCCAACCCAUCCUUACUGGGGGAGAAAGGAGACAGGAGGGCAGGAAACAAGAAGACAAUGCGCCAUCAAAGCUGCCGCAAGGUGUUGGAUCAAUGACAACAUCUGCAUGAGGGUCUGGGCUACAAUAGAAGCUGUUACCAUGGGAACGGGUGCAAAAGCAUCAGACGGGAGGGAGAAGGCGAUGAUGAAAGGUGGGAAAGCGGGAGAGAGUAUUUUUAGAUCGCUUAGGAGGAACGCUACACAAUGACAUCAUCCUAUCUCAUUAUUUGCAUCCGUGCUGUAUAACGCAUUGUGGCGUCUGCCCCAGGCUGUUAAAUUGGAAAAUGUUAUUAUGGAUGUGAAUUAUAAAUGCUGUGGUGAGACUUGAGCUUGAGAGUUAUUAGACAUCACUAUUCUGUAAUAAAGGAGAGCAUUUAAUACA